UUAGGAUGAAGGGUUUGAUCCUGGCUCAGGGUAAACGCUGGCGGCGUGCGUAACACAUGCAAGUCGGACGGGCCAUUACUCUUCGGAA
rnacentral:rRNA from 1 species